rnacentral:rRNA from 1 species
GACGAACGCUGGCGGCGUGCUUAACAUAUGCAAGUCGAACGGAAAGGCCCUGCUUUUGUGGGGUGCUCGAGUGGCGAACGGGUGAGUAACACGUGAGUAACCUGCCCUUGACUUUGGGAUAACUUCAGGAAACUGGGGCUAAUACCGGAUAGGAGCUCCUGCUGCAUGGUGGGGGUUGGAAAGUUUCGGCGGUUGGGGAUGGACUCGCGGCUUAUCAGCUUGUUGGUGGGGUAGUGGCUUACCAAGGCUUUGACGGGUAGCCGGCCUGAGAGGGUGACCGGCCACAUUGGGACUGAGAUACGACCCAGACUCCUACGGGAGGCAGCAGUGGGGAAUAUUGCACAAUGGGCGGAAGCCUGAUGCAGCAACGCCGCGUGCGGGAUGACGGCCUUCGGGUUGUAAACCGCUUUCGCCUGUGACGAAGCGUGAGUGACGGUAAUGGGUAAAGAAGCACCGGCUAACUACGUG